CGUCGCCUCCUUCUCCGGUCCCCUCCCCCCUCCCGGCUGCCCCCUUCUCCGCUGCCUCCUCGCCUCCUUCUCCGCCUCCACCCCGGCCCCCGCGAAACAGGAAAAGUGGGGGAAGGAGAAAAAGGAGCGGUUGACCCGAGGGCCGAGUUGAUCGGAGCGCCGGCCGGGGACAGAAGGAGCGCGCUUGGUGACAAGUCAGGUGGAGAAGCUCAAGUCUUGAACUCUGCUUGGUUUCCCAGGUACAGGCUAGACCCCACCCACGAUGAUCACUGAAUCACCAGGUGCUGAGGCCUCUUUCUGUUGUCAAGAGCCAGAGACAACUGAAAGAGCCAGAGACAAUUGAAAGUGAGUUAUCUGUGAGUCACUUUGCAAACAGAAUCAUUGACAGCGGGGACUUCUCUUUGCUGUCUUCCAGUGGCCUAGAAAACUGA
rnacentral:lncRNA from 1 species